UAGUCCUAGCCGUAAACGAUGGGCACCAGGCAAUGGGUUUACCUAUGAGGCUCAUUGCCGUAGCUAAUGUGUUAAGUGCCCCGCCUGGGGAGUACGCUCGCAAGGGUAAAACUCAAAGGAAUUGACGGGGGAUCACACAAGCGGUGGAGCAUGUUGUUUAAUUCGAAGCAACGCGAAGAACCUUACCAGGCCUUGACAUGCACGGAUUAGCUCCCUGAAAGGGGAGUGACGGCUCUUCGGAGUUGGAACGUGUGCAGGUGUUGCAUGGCUGUCGUCAGCUCGUGCCGUGAGGUGUUGGGUUAAGUCCCGUAACGAGCGAAACCCUUAUCGUUAGUUGCCAGCGGGUUAUGCCGGGGACUCUAGAGAGACUGCCGGUGUUAAACCGGAGGAAGGUGGGGAUGACGUCAAGUCCUCAUGGCCUUUAUGACUAGGGCUGCACACGUCCUACAAUGCGGCAUACAAAGGGAAGCAAACCCGUGAGGGGGAGCAAACCCCAAAAAGUGUCGCUCAGUUCGGAUUGCAGG
rnacentral:rRNA from 1 species